rnacentral:rRNA from 1 species
CGGCGUGCUUAACACAUGCAAGUCGAACGAGACGAAUUAGAAGCUUGCUUUUAUUGAGUCGAGUGGCAAACGGGUGAGUAACGCGUAGACAACCUGCCGCAAAGAUGGGGACAACAGUCCGAAAGGACUGCUAAUACCGAAUGUUGUAUCUCCUCCGCAUGGAAGAGAUAUUAAAGAUGGCCUCUACUUGUAAGCUAUCGCUUUGCGAUGGGUCUGCGUCUGAUUAGCUAGUUGGUGGGGCAACGGCCUACCAAGGCGACGAUCAGUAGCCGGUCUGAGAGGAUGAACGGCCACAUUGGAACUGAGACACGGUCCAGACUCCUACGGGAGGCAGCAGUGGGGAAUCUUCCGCAAUGGGCGAAAGCCUGACGGAGCAACGCCGCGUGAGUGAAGAAGGUCUUCGGAUCGUAAAGCUCUGUUGUCGGGGACGAAUGUUGAGGCCUAGAACAUAGGUUUCAAAUGACGGUACCUGACGAGGAAGCCACGGCUAACUACGUG